GACGAACGCUGGCGGCGUGCUUAACACAUGCAAGUCGAACGGAAAGGCCCUGCUUUUGUGGGGUGCUCGAGUGGCGAACGGGUGAGUAACACGUGAGUAACCUGCCCUCGACUUUGGGAUAACUUCAGGAAACUGGGGCUAAUACCGGAUAGGAGCUCCUGCUGCAUGGUGGGGGUUGGAAAGUUUCGGCGGUUGGGGAUGGACUCGCGGCUUAUCAGCUUGUUGGUGGGGUAGUGGCUUACCAAGGCUUUGACGGGUAGCCGGCCUGAGAGGGUGACCGGCCACAUUGGGACUGAGAUACGGCCCAGACUCCUACGGGAGGCAGCAGUGGGGAAUAUUGCACAAUGGGCGGAAGCCUGAUGCAGCAACGCCGCGUGCGGGAUGACGGCCUUCGGGUUGUAAACCGCUUUCGCCUGUGACGAAGCGUGAGUGACGGUAAUAGGUAAAGAAGCACCGGCUAACUACGUG
rnacentral:rRNA from 1 species